GAAACUGAAGAAUGGCCUAUACUGGUACUUCCAAUUUCUCUGCCCUCAUUUUCUUUUGAACUUCCAUUUGGACAUUUGCCGCCUCUGCUGCAUUGAAACUGCUCAAGGUCACCUGAGAUCUUUAUGCUGCUAAACACAAAGGGCUGUGCUAACAGGAAGGCCUGUGAUGCUUGCAAUCAAGCCAUUAUGAAGUCAAGAAUGGAGCUUCCAUUUUUAAAGAACUCAGAGGGGGCAGAUCUUGAUUGACAUCUCAUCUGGGGUCACCUGGUCUUCAAUUGAGAGAUCUUUUGGUUCGCCACGGAUGCCUCUUGCAGUUAUGGAAGCUUCCCUGACCAGAGGUCGUUUUGAAUUUCCUUCUCUGGAAUUUGACCACCGAGCAGAGACACAUAGGAGAGAAGAUGUAAAUGCUGAGUCAUCAAUCAGCAUCCCUGGGAAGAAAAAACCUCUCAGUUUCUUCUGCUGGGACUCCCAGAGCUGGAGUAUUUUCUGCUCUUCCUAAGGUCUGGUAAUUCAGCUCUGUGAGACUGUGAGCUUUACCAUACCCUUCCAGUAGCAACCUUCUUUUUUAAGUUCAUUGCAGGGAAUAGGGAGUGAUGACUAAUGGACAUAGGGUUUCUUUUUGGGGAGACAAAAUGUUCUAAAAUUAAGUGGUGGUGAUGGUUGCACAAUUUUGAAUAUACUAAAAACUAGUGAAUUCUAAAGUUUAGACAGGUGAAUUCUAUGCUAUGUAAAUUGUAUCUCAAUGAAAUUACUAAUACUCUAAAGCCUCCCAAGUGCCUUAGAUGUUCAGUGAAUGUUGAAAGCCAGUUAUUUAUCACAUAUCCUUAAGUCCUGCUACCUGUCACUGAGUCUCUGAGUUGUUUCCUCUUUGAUUUGACUUGGACCAAACUGCAACAACUCUUGAUGUUUCUUGUAAAUUCUAUGACUAACUCCCAGAGUGUCCCCUGUCUAUCUGAUACACAUUUAGCUUCUCCUUUCAGGCCUCAAACAGCAUGUUUAGAACAGAACCUAUCUUCUUCUCCCCAACCUGCUUUACCUUUUCUAUUUCUUACUCAGUUACUGGCAUAAACUUCUACAUAUAUGUUUAAGAAGACCACUCCUUUGACUUUUCCUGCUCCUUCUAACUUACAUCCAAUUAAUCAAAACUUUGUACCAGUUUUAUUUCUGAAACAAUCUCUCCCAUCUUCUUUAUCUCUUCAUUCCAUUGCCAGAUCUCAGAGUCCACCCUUUACUAUUUUAUGUUGGAUUAAGGCAAACCUCCUGUAAAGAGCUUCCCUGUCUCCUGCAGUCUCAUCCUCCAGUCCCCCUCCAUGCCCACACUGAAGUCCUCUUCCUAAAACAGGAAUAGGAUUAACUCACUCUCCUCCCCCAGAACUGUUAGCGGCUCUGCACUGAGUACUGGAUCAAGUCUAAUGUAAUGAGAAGGCCCUAUUCAAUCUAGGCCAAACUUCCCUUCUUAGCCUAGUGUCCUCCUAUGCCCCCUGCGCAGACCUUAGCUCCAAUCACACUAAUCACUGCCAUUACCCAGACACACUGUGCUAGUCCACAUUCACGUGCCCCCAGUUCACACCUCCCCUUUUCCUGGAAUGCCGUGUCCAUAUGGCCUGGAGAAUGACCUAAAGUUAGUGCCAGCAAAGAGCUUAUCAGUAGUGGGGCAGGUCACAGGGGAGAGCAGGUUCUGGAGCUAGCGUGAGGUGUCAAUGAGAAGAAGGGUGAUUUAUUAAGAAGUAAGCUCAUUUCAAGCCAUACACCUGAAACCUGAUGCCCAAAGAGGAGGCAGAGACCCAAUCAACUGCUGAUAUAGCUUGUGGGAGUGAGCAGGCUGGAGACUUGAGAGAACAAUAGACUGAGGCAAGUGUAACCAAUAGAUUAAUUCCUUACCAAUCUAGGAUCGCUGGAGCAUGGAGUGCUCCAGGCCUGGUGGCACCAAGUCUUUAAAAAGAAAAACCAUUAAACAGUGAAAUUCUGUCUCUACAAAAUAUUUAAAAAUUAGCUGGCAUAGUGGCACACAACUGUAGUACCAGCUACUCAGGAGGCUGAGGUGGGAGGAUCGCUUGAGCCCAGGAGUUUGAGGCUUCUAGAAGUUUGAGGCUUGCUAUGUUGCUCGGGCUGAGCUCCAGCUCCUGGGCUCAAGAGAUUCUCCCACCUCAGCCUCCUGUGUUGCUGGGACUACAGGCACGCACCACCAUGCCCUGCUGGUUAGCUGUUUUUAAAAAUUAUUUUUAGAGCAUCAUUAAAUUGCUCAUACUGAAAAAAAUGGCUUGGAUACUUUAAGAAGUAUAAGACAGAUUUGAGCAUUCAGCAAUAAUAGCUGAACUUCCUAAGAGACUAUAGCAACCUAGUUACUAGGGAAAUUGUUUUUUUUCUUUACUGAAAAAAAAUCGUGUGUUAAUAUAUCAUUUUAGAUGUGUAAUGUUAAGGGGUCCUUAUUGUUCAAGGAAUAUAAAGUAAGAGGAGAUGUCUCUCAUUGUAUAAUAUAAAACAAAAAAGAAAAAGUAUUGAUCUCAGAGAGAAAGUGAAGGUUACGAUAGCAAUUAACACUUCAUAGUAGACAAGUGAGUGCUAUGUGGGUCUCAGCCAUUCAAUACCUGGAAAAUUUGGAUAUCAAAUGUGGAACAUAACUUUAACAGUUUUCUGAGAGCAACAAGGAGAAAACUAGUUGAGUAAAGAUUUAUAAUACGGGGUCUUUAGAUCAACUUUUACUGGACUUGUAACUUGGUGUUUCUUCUUUAUUUGUGUUGUUACAGCAUGGUAUUAAACAAUUUGCUUAGAUAUAAAAUCAGAGGACUGGGCCUUUCUGUCAUCUGUAAAAUGCGGCAAAUAAAGACACUUGCCCUACUAACCUCAAAGACCUAUGGGGAACUCAAAAGAAAUAUUUUAAUAAUGUGAACAUAUUUAAUAGCAAAUUAUAAA